UACGGGGGGGGGCAAGCGUUGUUCGGAAUUACUGGGCGUAAAGGGCUCGUAGGCGGCCAACUAAGUCGGAUGUGAAAUCCCCAGGCUUAACCUGGGAACUGCAUCCGAUACUGGAUGGCUUGAAUCCGGGAGAGGGAUGCGGAAUUCCAGGUGUAGCGGUGAAAUGCGUAGAUAUCGGAAGGAACACCGGUGGCGAAAGCGGCGCGCUGGACCUCUUCUGACGCUGAGGCACGAAAGCGUGGGGAGCAAACAGG
rnacentral:rRNA from 1 species